rnacentral:rRNA from 1 species
UUGAUCCUGGCUCAGAAUCAACGCUGGCGGCGUGCCUAACACAUGCAAGUCGAACGCGAAAAGGGCUUCGGCUCUUAGUAGAGUGGCGAACGGGUGAGUUACACGUGGGUGACCUACCUUCGAAUGGGGGAUAACGUCCCGAAAGGGACUCUAAUACCGCAUAACAUCCUGCUUUUGAACAGGUGGAGAUCAAAGCCGGUGAUCGCAAGACCUGGCGUUUGAAGAGGGGCCCGCGUCUGAUUAGCUAGUUGGUGAGGUAACGGCCCACCAAGGCGACGAUCAGUAUCCGGCCUGAGGGGUCGGACGGACACACUGGGACUGAGACACGGCCCGGACUCCUACGGGAGGCUGCAGUGGGGAAUUGUUCGCAAUGGGCGCAAGCCUGACGACGCAACGCCGUGUGGAGGAUGAAGGUCUUCGGAUUGUAAACUCCUGUUGCUCGGGACGAAUAGCUUCGACCUAACACGUCGAAGUCUGACGGUACCGGGUGAGGAAGCCCUGGCUAACUCUGUGCCAGCAGCCGCGGUAAUAAGGU